UUGUUGAUGAUAUUAAUUGGUCCGUGUUGAUGAAUUUUGAUUGAUUAUACUUUUCCAAUUACUGAAAAAU